GGGCUAUUAGCUCAAUUGGUAGAGCAACUGACUCUUAAUCAGUAGGUCCUAGGUUCGAUCCCUAGAUAGCCCACCA
rnacentral:tRNA from 1 species